UAGGGAAUUGUUCGCAAUGGGCGCAAGCCUGACGACGCAACGCCGCGUGGAGGAUGAAGCCCCUUGGGGCGUAAACUCUUUUCGACCAAGACGAUAAUGACGGUACUGGUGGAAGAAGCACCGGCUAGCUCUGUGCCAGCAGCCGCGGUAAUACAGAGGGUGCGAGCGUUGUUCGGAAUUAUUGGGCGUAAAGGGCGCGUAGGCGGUGCCACAAGUCACUUGUGAAAUCUCCGGGCUUAACUCGGAGCCUGCAGGCGAAACUGUGGUGCUGGAGUGUGGGAGAGGAAAGUGGAAUUCCUGGUGUAGCGGUGAAAUGCGUAGAUAUCAGGAGGAACACCGGUGGUGUAAACGGCUUUCUGGACCAUAACUGGCGCUGAGGCACGAAAGCGUGGGUAGCAAACAGGAUUAGAUACCCUGGUAGUCCACGCCCUAAACGAUGCAUAUUUGGUGUGGGUCAUUCAGUUGAUCUGUGCCGGAGCUAACGCGUUAAAUAUGCCGCCUGGGGAGUACAGUCGCAAGGCUG
rnacentral:rRNA from 1 species